rnacentral:lncRNA from 1 species
CAAACAUUUCUGCACAAGUUGCUUUUACUUAUAAAAGCACAAACUAAUUCCUCAUAAUUAUAAAAUAAAAUUAUAAUAAUUGUGUUAAAUAUAUCUUUUUUCUGAACUCAGGUAAAAAAGAAGUCUAGAACAGCCAUUAUCAUCAUCUGCAAUGUCCCACUAGUUUGACUUGGAUAAAUCAAAUACUUUGCAGAAAAUUAAGAAUUUAUUGCUCAGAAAAAUAUCUAUCUGAAAAUAAUCUGAGCUGUUCUGAAUUCAGUGCAAUGAAUGUCUGAAAGAAUAAACAUGACUAACUUAUCUGCUGUUCUGUCCUUGAAAUUGGUUCCGAUUAAAAUAUAUCCAUUUUUACAAUACAAUCAUUGCUGAGUGUACAAAUUGGUAUGUAAGGCUUAUCUUUCUUUUCUUGAAGAAAAUGAUAGUCCUCUUUGUUAAACAUGUUUUGUUUAGUUUCCAGAAUUCUAGUGUUGAAACAUGAUUUAUCAAGUAUUUCAGUCAGUUAAGAACAAUUCAGAAAAAGUUGGUCGUUCCAGUUCACAACCUAUUUACCAUUACAACUGGAAUGACUUUUAGUGAGCAAGCUCAGUUACUCCAUAUAAUUCAAACAUCAUAUUGAUAACACAUAGCUAAGAGGGUAAUAGAGCAGAUUUUUACCC